rnacentral:rRNA from 1 species
GCUUGUCUCAAAGAUUAAGCCAUGCAUGUCUAAGUACAAGCCUCAGUAAGGUGAAACCGCGAAUGGCUCAUUAAAUCACACCUAAUCUACUGGAAAGUUACUAGUUACUUGGAUAACUGAGGUAAUUCUUGAGCUAAUACAUGCGAAAAAUCUCGACUCACGGAGAGAUGCUUUUAUUAGAUCAAAACCAAUGCAGUCUUCGGGCUGGUAUUGUGUUGAGUCAUAAUAACUGUGCGGAUCGCGUUUUACGCGAUAAAUCGAUUGAGUUUCUGCCCUAUCAGCUUUGGAUGGUAGGAUAUGGGCCUACCAUGGCAUUAACGGGUAACGGGGAAUUAGGGUUUGAUUCCGGAGAGGGAGCCUUAGAAACGGCUACCACAUCCAAGGAAGGCAGCAGG